UACGUAGGGUGCAAGCGUUUGUCCGGAAUUAUUGGGCGUAAAGAGCUCGUAGGCGGUCUGUCACGUCGGCUGUGAAAUCCCGAGGCUCAACCUCGGGUCUGCAGUCGAUACGGGCAAACUAGAGUAUUGCAGGGGAGACUGGAAUUCCUGGUGUAGCGGUGAAAUGCGCAGAUAUCAGGAGGAACACCGGUGGCGAAGGCGGGUCUCUGGGCAAUAACUGACGCUGAGGAGCGAAAGCGUGGGUAGCAAACAGG
rnacentral:rRNA from 1 species